UACGUAGGGUGCAAGCGUUGUCCGGAAUUAUUGGGCGUAAAGAGCUCGUAGGCGGCCUGUCGCGUCGGAUGUGAAAAUCCAAGGCUCAACCUUGGACCUGCAUUCGAUACGGGCAGGCUAGAGUUCGGUAGGGGAGACUGGAAUUCCUGGUGUAGCGGUGAAAUGCGCAGAUAUCAGGAGGAACACCGGUGGCGAAGGCGGGUCUCUGGGCCGAUACUGACGCUGAGGAGCGAAAGCGUGGGGAGCGAGCCGG
rnacentral:rRNA from 1 species